AGAGUUUGAUCUGGCUCAGAUUGAACGCUGGCGGCAUGCCUUACACAUGCAAGUCGAACGGCAGCACGGGAGCAAUCCUGGUGGCGAGUGGCGAACGGGUGAGUAAUAUAUCGGAACGUGCCCAGUCGUGGGGGAUAACGCAGCGAAAGCUGUGCUAAUACCGCAUACGAUCUACGGAUGAAAGCGGGGGAUCGCAAGACCUCGCGCGAUUGGAGCGGCCGAUAUCAGAUUAGCUAGUUGGUGGGGUAAAAGCCCACCAAGGCGACGAUCUGUAGCUGGUCUGAGAGGACGACCAGCCACACUGGAACUGAGACACGGUCCAGACUCCUACGGGAGGCAGCAGUGGGGAAUUUUGGACAAUGGGCGCAAGCCUGAUCCAGCAAUGCCGCGUGCAGGAUGAAGGCCUUCGGGUUGUAAACUGCUUUUGUACGGAACGAAACGGUCUGCCCUAAUACGGUGGGCUAAUGACGGUACCGUAAGAAUAAGCACCGGCUAACUACGUGCCAGCAGCCGCGGUAAUACGUAGGGUGCGAGCGUUAAUCGGAAUUACUGGGCGUAAAGCGUGCGCAGGCGGUUAUGUAAGACAGAUGUGAAAUCCCCGGGCUCAACCUGGGACCUGCAUUUGUGACUGCAUAGCUAGAGUACGGUAGAGGGGGAUGGAAUUCCGCGUGUAGCAGUGAAAUGCGUAGAUAUGCGGAGGAACACCGAUGGCGAAGGCAAUCCCCUGGACCUGUACUGACGCUCAUGCACGAAAGCGUGGGGAGCAAACAGGAUUAGAUACCCUGGUAGUCCACGCCCUAAACGAUGUCAACUGGUUGUUGGGUCUUCACUGACUCAGUAACGAAGCUAACGCGUGAAGUUGACCGCCUGGGGAGUACGGCCGCAAGGUUGAAACUCAAAGGAAUUGACGGGGACCCGCACAAGCGGUGGAUGAUGUGGUUUAAUUCGAUGCAACGCGAAAAACCUUACCUACCCUUGACAUGUCUGGAAUCCUGAAGAGAUUUGGGAGUGCUCGAAAGAGAACCAGAACACAGGUGCUGCAUGGCCGUCGUCAGCUCGUGUCGUGAGAUGUUGGGUUAAGUCCCGCAACGAGCGCAACCCUUGUCAUUAGUUGCUACGAAAGGGCACUCUAAUGAGACUGCCGGUGACAAACCGGAGGAAGGUGGGGAUGACGUCAGGUCCUCAUGGCCCUUAUGGGUAGGGCUACACACGUCAUACAAUGGCCGGUACAGAGGGCUGCCAACCCGCGAGGGGGAGCCAAUCCCAGAAAACCGGUCGUAGUCCGGAUCGCAGUCUGCAACUCGACUGCGUGAAGUCGGAAUCGCUAGUAAUCGCGGAUCAGCUUGCCGCGGUGAAUACGUUCCCGGGUCUUGUACACACCGCCCGU
rnacentral:rRNA from 1 species